rnacentral:rRNA from 1 species
UGACGGAGCACGCCGCGUGAGGGAUGAAGGCCUCUGGGCUGUAAACCUCUUUUAUCAAGGAAGAAGAUCUGACGGUACUUGAUGAAUAAACCACGGCUAAUUCCGUGCCAACAGCCGCGGUAAUACGGGAGUGGCAAGCGUUAUCCGGAAUUAUUGGGCGUAAAGCGUCCGCAGGCGGCCCUUCAAGUCUGCUGUUAAAAAGUGGAGCUUAACUCCAUCAUGGCAGUGGAAACUGUUGGGCUUGAUUGUGGUAGGGGCAUAGGGAAUUCCCGGUGUAGCGGUGAAAUGCGUAGAUAUCGGGAAAAACACCAGUGGCAAAGGCGCUCUGCUGGGCCAUCACUGACGCUCAUGGACGAAAGCCAGGGGAGCGAAAGGGAUUAGAUACCCCUGUAGUCCUGGCCGUAAACGAUGAACACUACGUGUCGGGGGAAUCGACCCCCUCGGUGUCGUAGCCAACGCGUUAAGUGUUCCGCCUGGGGAGUACGCACGCAAGUGUGAAACUCAAAGGAAUUGACGG